GAAAGACCUGUGGGAGUACAUCAAGGACUGAGAAGAGCCCUGCAUCCAGUGGAUUAGGAAUACUUGCCAUAUAGAGUGUUCAUGAAAGUAAAACAAAAACACAAACGAGUAAGCACUAAGCCUGUUCUGACAGCACUUGUCUGUAGUACCAGGAUUCUGUUUUGUUAACGGAAAGUUUAAAUAAAUUAUAUUGUAUUUUUUAAAAAGGUAGAUAAACCAUGUACAAAAUAUUCUAGGCUGCCAACAAGCAUGGCAGAUGCACUAGAAGCCCUCCAACUUGGACUAGUAAUUGAAAAACAAUUGCAGGUUCGUGUAAAAUAAUAUAGUGGGUUUGUGUGCUGAUCUCAUUAAAUGGGCUAUUAUAAUUUGGGGAUUUUGAUACUUUUUGAAUGUGCAUUACAUACUGUUCUUUAUAAAUAACUUACUUUGUGAAAAUCAUUUGCUUGCACUCACAGUGGAUCAUGACCAGGUUUGAAGAGAAAAUGAAUCUCAUUUUUGAAAGUGAACUGUUUGGAGAAGGCACCAUGAAGAUGCCUCCACAGACCACAGACCACACACUGCACCAGAAAAUCCAGAGUGAAUUUUGGGAUGUGGUGAUUUGAACUGUGUGGGGUUGAAAGCAAUUGUUUUUGUAUGUAUACUCUUAUGCUGAAGGGGACUACACCCUGACUGGCUUUUUGUCAAUACACCUAGCAAUCAUGUGUUUGUUCUUUUCCCUUUUAUGCCCAGAUUACUGUAAUUUUAAAUUGAUUAUGUUUCCCCUUUGGGGGAAACUGGUUUCCCAAUAAGAUCACAGGGAGGUAUGUAUAAAUGGAGAUUUUGAACCUCUGACUUCAUUCCCCAUAAGUCCUUAGUAUUUCCCAAAAUUCUCUAUAAUCUCUCCACAUUGGCAAGAUCACAUUAUUGGUAUUUAACUGGCUGUAACUCCUCCCCCUGUCUCUUCCUUUAGCAUGCAGCCAGUGGUGAUGGUGGUGAGUGGGGAUUCUGAAAAUGGUUAACCAGCCAUGGGCAC
rnacentral:lncRNA from 1 species